rnacentral:rRNA from 1 species
AUUGAACGCUGGCGGCAGGCCUAACACAUGCAAGUCGAGCGAGCGGCGGACGGGUGAGUAAUGUCUGGGAAACUGCCUGAUGGAGGGGGAUAACUACUGGAAACGGUAGCUAAUACCGCAUACCAUCAGAUGUGCCCAGAUGGGAUUAGCUAGUAGGUGGGGUAACGGCUCACCUAGGCGACGAUCCCUAGCUGGUCUGAGAGGAUGACCAGCCACACUGGAACUGUGACACGGUCCAGACUCCUACGGGAGGCAGCAGUGGGGAAUAUUGCACAAUGGGCUCAAGCCUGAUGCAGCCAUGCCGCGUGUGUACAGAAGCCUUCGGGGUUGUAAACCACUUUCAGUGGGGAGCCUGUACCGGCAGAAGAAGCACCGGCUAACUCCGUACCAGCCGCCGCGGUAAUAC